AAAAUAAAGACAAGUGAAUGAGAUCGGAAGGAAACUUGACAGGGCGGUCAAAACAACGAAAAAGACAUCCAAAACAGCGAAUAUACUUACUCACAAGGAUGUAACUUUGAUCUCCAGGGACAAGUGUUUGCAAUCGGUGCGAGCCGGUGUGUGAUUAAAAGAAGCCCAAGGGAGCGUGAAAAAACGCCCAAUCUGGCAACGCUGCUGAACGUCCUCACGCUCCAGCGGCAACGUAGAUCAAUGAGACCAACUGAAAACGAACCCGGUAUGAAAGUAAAACUGUGAUUCUGAAGAAAGUUUAAAUGAUAUCGAAAUUCCAUUUACAUUUAAUUGAAGAUACAGCCGGAACUUGUCCGGACUGAUUCUAGUGGGGAUUGCAGUACGGAACACAGCCGCUUCGCUACCGUACCGCUUCCGUGACGGUUCUGGUGGAAAUUGGCCUUCACAAACGAGGUGGAACCCAUGGGCCAAGCCGAGUUGAACACAUCCUAGGAAGAUAUUUUCCGCCAUAUUUGAUCAAACAGCUUUAACAGGCCUCUCUUGUUACAAAUGUUGUCUAAUCUUUUCGAAAUGUCCCCACGGCCAUCCGACUCCCCCCCCCACCCGACCAGUCUCCCCACUGGGUGAUCUAAUGGUCUGUUCGUUUUACCCAAUCACGUGAGCUCUCUGCACUUUGGCACUCUAUAUUUAUUAUAUUAUUUAUUUACUCACUCAUUUUGCACUAUUUAUGUUGGUUUUGCACUGUCUUGUCCUGUCUUGUCUGUCCUGUUGUAAACUCCACUGUACCAAAACAAAUUCCAAACAUGUUUACAUGUCAUGGCGAAUAAAGUGAUCUGAAUCUGAAUCAG
ensembl:lncRNA